GUGAAUCAUCAAAUCUUUGAACGCAAAUUGCACUUUCUGGUAUUCCGGAAAGUAUGCCUGUUUGAGGGUCAGUUAAAUAAAAAUCGGUGUUAUUGCUUAUUUAAUGGUGAUGCAUCGGAAUUGCGUCGUCUUUACCCUUUGGUUUUUAAGUGACUUAAAAAUUUUGUACGAUUUUUGAACGUAUUUAAAUUUUUUACGUACGUUUAUAAUAUCAUAUAUUAGGCGUGGUCAUUUUUAUGAUUUCGCGUCUAUAAUUUUUCAUUAUUUGACCUCAAAUCAGGUAAGAAUACCCGCUGAACUU
rnacentral:misc_RNA from 1 species